rnacentral:rRNA from 1 species
GACGAACGCUGGCGGCGUGCCUAAUACAUGCAAGUCGAACGAACUCUGGUAUUGAUUGGUGCUUGCAUCAUGAUUUACAUUUGAGUGAGUGGCGAACUGGUGAGUAACACGUGGGAAACCUGCCCAGAAGCGGGGGAUAACACCUGGAAACAGAUGCUAAUACCGCAUAACAACUUGGACCGCAUGGUCCGAGCUUGAAAGAUGGCUUCGGCUAUCACUUUUGGAUGGUCCCGCGGCGUAUUAGCUAGAUGGUGGGGUAACGGCUCACCAUGGCAAUGAUACGUAGCCGACCUGAGAGGGUAAUCGGCCACAUUGGGACUGAGACACGGCCCAAACUCCUACGGGAGGCAGCAGUAGGGAAUCUUCCACAAUGGACGAAAGUCUGAUGGAGCAACGCCGCGUGAGUGAAGAAGGGUUUCGGCUCGUAAAACUCUGUUGUUAAAGAAGAACAUAUCUGAGAGUAACUGUUCAGGUAUUGACGGUAUUUAACCAGAAAGCCACGGCUAACUACGUGCCAGCAGCCGCGGUAAUACGUAGGUGGCAAGCGUUGUCCGGAUUUAUUGGGCGUAAAGCGAGCGCAGGCGGUUUUUUAAGUCUGAUGUGAAAGCCUUCGGCUCAACCGAAGAAGUGCAUCGGAAACUGGGAAACUUGAGUGCAGAAGAGGACAGUGGAACUCCAUGUGUAGCGGUGAAAUGCGUAGAUAUAUGGAAGAACACCAGUGGCGAAGGCGGCUGUCUGGUCUGUAACUGACGCUGAGGCUCGAAAGUAUGGGUAGCAAACAGGAUUAGAUACCCUGGUAGUCCAUACCGUAAACGAUGAAUGCUAAGUGUUGGAGGGUUUCCGCCCUUCAGUGCUGCAGCUAACGCAUUUAGCAUUCCGCCUGGGGAGUACGGCCGCAAGGCUGAAACUCAAAAGGAAUUGACGGGGGCCCGCACAAGCGGUGGAGCAUGUGGUUUAAUUCGAAGCUACGCGAAGAACCUUACCAGGUCUUGACAUACUAUGCAAAUCUAAGAGAUUAGACGUUCCCUUCGGGGACAUGGAUACAGGUGGUGCAUGGUUGUCGUCAGCUCGUGUCGUGAGAUGUUGGGUUAAGUCCCGCAACGAGCGCAACCCUUAUUAUCAGUUGCCAGCAUUAAGUUGGGCACUCUGGUGAGACUGCCGGUGACAAACCGGAGGAAGGUGGGGAUGACGUCAAAUCAUCAUGCCCCUUAUGACCUGGGCUACACACGUGCUACAAUGGAUGGUACAACGAGUUGCGAACUCGCGAGAGUAAGCUAAUCUCUUAAAGCCAUUCUCAGUUCGGAUUGUAGGCUGCAACUCGCCUACAUGAAGUCGGAAUCGCUAGUAAUCGCGGAUCAGCAUGCCGCGGUGAAUACGUUCCCGGGCCUUGUACACACCGCCCGUCACACCAUGAGAGUUUGUAACACCCAAAGUCGGUGGGGUAACCUUUUAGGAACCAGCCGCCUAAGGUGGGAC